rnacentral:rRNA from 1 species
GAUCCUGCCAGUAGUCAUAUGCUUGUCUCAAAGAUUAAGCCAUGCAUGUCUAAGUACAAACAGGGUCUUCGACCUCUGUGAUACCGCGGACGGCUCAUUAAAUCAGUCGUGGUCCAAAGGGGCCAGUACCCCAUCGUACAAUGGUAAUACUUGGAUAACUGUGGUAAUUCCAGAGCUAAUACAUGCAAUCACAUGCUCCGAAGGCGUGCGCCUCGCGCGUACGCUGGACGGGCGCUUUUAUUAGACCAAACCGCCGGGAGAGGUGCUUACGCGCCUCUCUUCUCGCUGUGUGGUGACUCUGGAUAACUACAAGGGACUUAGUCCCUGUUGACGAGCGCACGUACCCCUCUUUGAGCGGGACGGCGCUGCCACUUUCGAGUGUCUGCCUUAUCAGCUGUCAAUCGUUCGUUAUGUGCGACCGAUGGCAUUGACGGGUAACGGGGAAUCAGGGUUCGAUUCCGGAGAGGCAGCCUGAGAAACGGCUACCACGUCCAAGGACGGCAGCAGGCACGCAAAUUACCCAAUCCCAGCACCUGGGGGAGGUAGUGACGAAACAUAACGAUGCGGGCGCCCUUUCUGGGGCUCCGCAAUCGGAAUGAGCAUUGUCCUAAACAACCUGUUGAGAACCUACUGAAGGGCAAGUCUGGUGCCAGCAGCCGCG